UGCAGUCGACGGCAGCAUGAUCUAGCUUGCUAGAUUGAUGGCGAGUGGCGAACGGGUGAGUAAUACAUCGGAACGUGCCCUGUAGUGGGGGAUAACUAGUCGAAAGAUUAGCUAAUACCGCAUACGACCUGAGGGUGAAAGUGGGGGACCGCAAGGCCUCAUGCUAUAGGAGCGGCCGAUGUCUGAUUAGCUAGUUGGUGGGGUAAAGGCCCACCAAGGCGACGAUCAGUAGCUGGUCUGAGAGGACGAUCAGCCACACUGGGACUGAGACACGGCCCAGACUCCUACGGGAGGCAGCAGUGGGGAAUUUUGGACAAUGGGCGAAAGCCUGAUCCAGCAAUGCCGCGUGUGUGAAGAAGGCCUUCGGGUUGUAAAGCACUUUUGUCCGGAAAGAAAUGGCUCUGGUUAAUACCUGGGGUCGAUGACGGUACCGGAAGAAUAAGGACCGGCUAACUACGUGCCAGCAGCCGCGGUAAUACGUAGGGUCCAAGCGUUAAUCGGAAUUACUGGGCGUAAAGCGUGCGCAGGCGGUUGUGCAAGACCGAUGUGAAAUCCCCGAGCUUAACUUGGGAAUUGCAUUGGUGACUGCACGGCUAGAGUGUGUCAGAGGGGGGUAGAAUUCCACGUGUAGCAGUGAAAUGCGUAGAGAUGUGGAGGAAUACCGAUGGCGAAGGCAGCCCCCUGGGAUAACACUGACGCUCAUGCACGAAAGCGUGGGGAGCAAACAGGAUUAGAUACCCUGGUAGUCCACGCCCUAAACGAUGUCAACUAGUUGUUGGGGA
rnacentral:rRNA from 2 species